rnacentral:misc_RNA from 1 species
CAGAAUGUAACCUUUUUGGUACACUCUUGUCUAUCCCUUUGUUUACCUUACUCUGUUGCUUCCAUGGUGCCAGCCCAAUAUCUUGGCUCCGGACAGGUACUAAACCCACCUGUUUGGAAGUGCCCAUGGGUGGUUCUCCCGGGGAACGCCUGUACCCGGGAGGACCUAAACCUUUAAAAUCUGAAAUUGAGAAACCUGUCUGAAUAUAUAUCAAAUAUAAAUA